ensembl:misc_RNA Metazoa_SRP Metazoan signal recognition particle RNA
GCCGGGUGCAGUGGCGCGCGCCUGUAAUCCAAGCUGCUGGGAGGCUGAGGCUGGCGGAUCGCUUGAGUUCAGGGGUUCUGGGCUGCAGUGGACUAUGUCGAUUGGGUGUCCGUGCUAAGUUCGGUAUCGAUAUGGUGCUCCUGGGGGAGCUCGGGACCACCAGGUCGUCUAAGGAGGGGUGAACAGGCCCAGGUCGGAGACGGAGCAGGUCAAAGCCCCCGUGCCGAUCAGUAGUGGGGUCGCACCUGUGAAUAGACACUGCAGUGCAGCCUGAGCGAUACAGCGAGACUCAGUCUUUU